CGCACGGCACACCCUUUCAGUACUCCAAUUGCACGCCGGCAAUAACGUGAGACGCUGCUAGCCGUCUCGCUAACCAGGCCCGUGUGAUUAAGCCAUGCUCAAUGAUGCCUCGUUGCCAGCUUGAGGGGACGCCACUUCCCAUUGAGGGGGACAUAGGACAGGCCGUUGAAAAGGUCACCAUUACAUUACCAUUAAAGGAGGGUUAAACUUGUUAUCUGCACUGUCUGGCUCUGGCUCGUGGGAGGAUUGGAAAUGUGAGGUUUUCUCCUCCUCCCUGUUGUGGAAGGGGUUGGGCCAUUCUGGAUCUUUGUGCUUGGAGCUCUGCCAUUGUUGGAGAUUCCUGAACAGAGUGCCUGGCUAGAAGGGUAAAGCUGGUGACUGGGUGAAAUCAGCACACUGUAGCAGGGCUUUUCCCAUGCCUGCACUAAAGCUCAUCACUCUACAGGGACCAGUGGCUCAUAUUUCCCAGGAUAUUGAGCAACACACAUGUGUUCAGCAAAUUAAGCAAUGACCUGCCUGCUGUUGGUUUUAGCUCUAGAGGAUCCUCUUGUGACAAAAACAACUAUAGUAAAGGAACAGGUGUAUUUUGCAUAUAUACAGUUGUAUGCAAAUGUUUUAGAUUUUCUAAGUGAAAAGAAGUAAACAUCAUCUAAAGAGAAUACACUAUCUGCACACUUUAAUGAACAAUUACCGUUUAUUUAAUACAUUUAACACACUGGAAAAAUAAUCAGUGACUUGUGCCCUGAUAGCUUGCUCUGCUAAUCUGAAAUAAUGGAGAAUACGUCAUGAAAUAUGGCCUGUGCAAAAAUUCUGGCAUAUUUUUUUUGUUUUGUGUUUCAUGUUCAGCAGUUAAUAUCAGCAAGUACAAGCAAAUUGUGGACUAAAAUGCUGUCCUAUAUUGUGUAUAAAUUUCAGGAUUAAUGGGCCAAAAUUACUUGGUUCCAUUGACUAACAUUAAAAGUAAAGCAUGUUUUUCCUUCUUCGAAAAAAAGUUGGGAUGCUGUGCAAAAUGUAAAUAAAAACAA